ensembl:piRNA 21ur-5086 ncRNA
UACCAAUUCGUCAUGUUUAUG